rnacentral:rRNA from 1 species
CAGCCGCCACGGUAAUACAGAGGAUGCAAGCGUUAUCUGGAAUGAUUGGGCGUAAAGCGUCUGUAGAUGGCUUUUCAAGUCCGCCGUCAAAUCCCAGGGUCAAACCUAGACAGGCGGUGGAAACUACCAAGCUGGAGUACAGUAGGGGCAGAGGGAAUUUCCGGUGGAGCAGUGAAAUGCGUUGAGAUCGGAAAGAACACCAAUGGCGAAAGCACUCUGCUGGGCCGACACUGACACUGAAAGACGAAAGCUAGGGGAGCAAAUGGGAUUAGAUACCCGGGUAGUCCCUGUCUCUUAUACA